ACGGAAGGCAGCAGUGGGGAAUAUUGCACAAUGGGCGAAAGCCUGAUGCAGCGACGCCGCGUGAGUGAAGAAGUAUCUCGGUAUGUAAAGCUCUAUCAGCAGGGAAGAAAAUGACGGUACCUGACUAAGAAGCCCCGGCUAACUACGUGCCAGCAGCCGCGGUAAUACGUAGGGGGCAAGCGUUAUCCGGAUUUACUGGGUGUAAAGGGAGCGUAGACGGUUUGGCAAGUCUGAAGUGAAAUGCGGGGGCUCAACUCCUGAACUGCUUUGGAAACUGUCGAACUAGAGUGCAGGAGAGGUAAGUGGAAUUCCUAGUGUAGCGGUGAAAUGCGUAGAUAUUAGGAGGAACACCAGUGGCGAAGGCGGCUUACUGGACUGUAACUGACGUUGAGGCUCGAAAGCGUGGGGAGCAAACAGAAUUAGAUACCCUGGUA
rnacentral:rRNA from 2 species